rnacentral:rRNA from 1 species
UGGGGAAUUUUGGACAAUGGGCGAAAGCCUGAUCCAGCAAUGCCGCGUGUGUGAAGAAGGCCUUCGGGUUGUAAAGCACUUUUGUCCGGAAAGAAAUGGCUCUGGUUAAUACCUGGGGUCGAUGACGGUACCGGAAGAAUAAGGACCGGCUAACUACGUGCCAGCAGCCGCGGUAAUACGUAGGGUCCAAGCGUUAAUCGGAAUUACUGGGCGUAAAGCGUGCGCAGGCGGUUGUGCAAGACCGAUGUGAAAUCCCCGAGCUUAACUUGGGAAUUGCAUUGGUGACUGCACGGCUAGAGUGUGUCAGAGGGGGGUAGAAUUCCACGUGUAGCAGUGAAAUGCGUAGAGAUGUGGAGGAAUACCGAUGGCGAAGGCAGCCCCCUGGGAUAACACUGACGCUCAUGCACGAAAGCGUGGGGAGCAAACAGGAUUAGAUACCCUGGUAGUCCACGCCCUAAACGAUGUCAACUAGUUGUUGGGGAUUCAUUUCCUUAGUAACGUAGCUAAC